UGGCACAGGUAGAGCUCGCUUAUGUGAGUGGGCGGGGAAUUACUCAGGGUGCUUUUCAGGUUCCAAAUAGGCUCGGAUAGAGGAGUCUGGAAGCUCAUUGUCCUUCCUCCAUGAAUCCAGAUUAUUCAUCUGUCCCAAGACACGCCUCAGCGGGGUCUGGCCACCUGUCUUUGCCCCGCAGACCCCUCACGGUCGUGGGUCCUCAUCGGCAAGGCUGCCGUUCACCUGCCCGCCUCCCCCACUCUCUCAUCCCUCUAGGGUCGUCGGACCCAAGAUAAAGACUACACUUCCCAGCCUUCUUUGCAGCCAAUGGGAGUUGGUGAGUGAGGCUCCCAGGUGUCCUUCAAAAGAGAUGGUCACACGCCUUCCCUGCCCAUUCUCCUUCCUGCUGGCUGGAAUGUGGAUUCAGAGGUUAGGGCCGAAGCCCCAUCUUGGACCAUGAGAUGGCCACCCUAACAGACCGAGGCUUGCAUCGAUCAGUGAGGGGCUGCCGAGCACUGUGGCUGGGGGUCCUACUGGGCCGUCUGAUUACAGCUCCAACAGCACAGUGAGAGUCCGGAUGUGGAAGGAUUAUCCAGAGAGAAUCCAGGAAUCAACGCUUUGUUUCGGCCUGAAAGAAGGAAAGCCUACCUCCAGUCCUCGGCUCUUGUAAUCCAAGCGGUCAAGGUCACCGCCUUCAAGCUCAAGCUCAGUUUCAGUAGCAUACUGCAGGCUCCAUGCCCAGCGUGGAGCCCAACGUGAGGCUUGAACCUGAGAUCAAGAGUCAGACACUUAGCUGCCCAGGACCCCCUUUGUGACUGA